AGAGGGGCGCCUCGCCACGCCUCUUGCCUCGCCUGGGCGCCUCCCAUGCCAUUAAUAACACUGGGCCUGUCCUUGACACCUUGUAGAUUCUUGUGGUAUUGGAUCAAGUUAAGUUUGAAGCAGCAUAACUAAAGGCACAUGACAGUCAACAGAUAACUCUAGAUCAUCAAUCAUAUAGAAGUUGGCUAAAAGCCAUCAAUGCUCAGGUUGAUAUGAAGUUUCUAAUUCUAUAGAAAGGAGUUUGCUAAUUCUUGUGGUAUUGACUUUAGUUUGAAACAACUUGAUUGAGGGCCACAUGACAGAUAAAAACCUAAUUUGCCAAGCAUUUGGAAGUUGACUAUAAAAUUGAGGUUGAUAUGCAGUUCUGUUUUAAUAGAAUUCGCUGAAUAUGGAGAUACUUUUUUCCAAUGCGUAUCAGGCAGUGGACUUCUGCUACUCUUGCAGUUCAAUCCAAUGAUACUUUUAAUCUGAAUUCACUCUUCCGUGCAAUUUCUUAUAGGCCAUUUUCAAGCAUUCUAUUAUGGUCAUUUAUUAUCUUUAUUCAUUGUGAUGAAUCCUGGGAUUGGUCUGUUGAAUGGUAUGAGGUGGAUAAAUAGUAGCCCUGGCUGCACUUAUAAUAUUCUCUGGUUUGGUAAGCCAUCCAUCCAGAUUGCAGAAUGCAAUUCUUCCCAUUUCACCAGAAGUCUAGCUAAGAAUUGUUUUUCGGGAAACAGGCCAUGAUAGCAUAACUCAAUAAAUUUAGUUAAGUUCCAAUGAUCUUAUAUUUAAUACAACUCAACUCAAACUCAACUAAGCCUUUAUCCCA
rnacentral:misc_RNA from 1 species